GUCGCUUCUCGGCCUUUUGGCUAAGAUCAAGUGUAGUAUCUGUUCUUAUCAGUUUUUAUUUCUUCUCCCAUGUGGUUAGCAAUAGGACGAGAGGAAAUGGGCUCAAGCUGCGCCAGGGGAGGUUUAGGUUGGAAAUUAGGAAAAAUUUCUUUAUGGAAAGGGUGGUCAAGCAUU
rnacentral:snRNA from 1 species